rnacentral:rRNA from 1 species
AAUGCUUAGGAAUCUGCCUAUUAGUGGGGGACAACAUUCCGAAAGGAAUGCUAAUACCGCAUACGCCCUACGGGGGAAAGCAGGGGAUCUUCGGACCUUGCGCUAAUAGAUGAGCCUAAGUCAGAUUAGCUAGUUGGUGGGGUAAAGGCCUACCAAGGCGACGAUCUGUAGCGGGUCUGAGAGGAUGAUCCGCCACACUGGGACUGAGACACGGCCCAGACUCCUACGGGAGGCAGCAGUGGGGAAUAUUGGACAAUGGGCGCAAGCCUGAUCCAGCCAUGCCGCGUGUGUGAAGAAGGCCUUUUGGUUGUAAAGCACUUUAAGCGAGGAGGAGGCUACUUGGAUUAAUACUCUGGGAUAGUGGACGUUACUCGCAGAAUAAGCACCGGCUAACUCUGUGCCAGCAGCCGCGGUAAUACAGAGGGUGCGAGCGUUAAUCGGAUUUACUGGGCGUAAAGCGUGCGUAGGCGGCUUUUUAAGUCGGAUGUGAAAUCCCUGAGCUUAACUUAGGAAUUGCAUUCGAUACUGGGAAGCUAGAGUAUGGGAGAGGAUGGUAGAAUUCCAGGUGUAGCGGUGAAAUGCGUAGAGAUCUGGAGG